rnacentral:rRNA from 1 species
GUGAGGAAUAUUGGUCAAUGGGCGUGAGCCUGAACCAGCCAAGUAGCGUGCAGGAUGACGGCCCUAUGGGUUGUAAACUGCUUUUAUACGGGGAUAACAGACAUUACGUGUAAUGUUUUGCAGGUACCGUAUGAAUAAGGACCGGCUAAUUCCGUGCCAGCAGCCGCGGUAAUACGGAAGGUCCGGGCGUUAUCCGGAUUUAUUGGGUUUAAAGGGAGCGUAGGCCGCAGGUUAAGCGUGUUGUGAAAUGUAGAUGCUCAACAUCUGAAUUGCAGCGCGAACUGGUCUGCUUGAGUACGCGCAACGUUGGCGGAAUUCGUCGUGUAGCGGUGAAAUGCUUAGAUAUGACGAAGAACUCCGAUUGCGAAGGCAGCUGACGGGAGCGUUACUGACGCUGAAGCUCGAAAGUGCGGGUAUCGAACAGGAUUAGAUACCCUAGUAGUCC